AGUGAACGCUGGCGGUAGGCCUAACACAUGCAAGUCGAACGGCAGCACAGAGGAGCUUGCUCCUUGGGUGGCGAGUGGCGGACGGGUGAGGAAUACAUCGGAAUCUACCCUGUCGUGGGGGAUAACGUAGGGAAACUUACGCUAAUACCGCAUACGACCUACGGGUGAAAGCAGGGGACCCCCGGGCCUUGCGCGAUUGAAUGAGCCGAUGUCGGAUUAGCUAGUUGGCGGGGUAAAGGCCCACCAAGGCGACGAUCCGUAGCUGGUCUGAGAGGAUGAUCAGCCACACUGGAACUGAGACACGGUCCAGACUCCUACGGGAGGCAGCAGUGGGGAAUAUUGGACAAUGGGCGCAAGCCUGAUCCAGCCAUACCGCGUGGGUGAAGAAGGCCUUCGGGUUGUAAAGCCCUUUUGUUGGGAAAGAAAUCCAGCUGGCUAAUACCCGGUUGGGAUGACGGUACCCAAAGAAUAAGCACCGGCUAACUUCGUGCCAGCCGCCGCAGUAA
rnacentral:rRNA from 1 species